rnacentral:tRNA from 1 species
GGAAGGUUGGGCGAGUGGCCAAAGCCGGCUGCCCUGAAAGCAGCAGUCCUUCGGGGCGCGCGAGUUCGAAUCUACGCACCUUCCGCCA